rnacentral:rRNA from 1 species
CCUACGGGGGGCAGCAGUGAGGAAUAUUGGUCAAUGGACGAGAGUCUGAACCAGCCAAGUAGCGUGAAGGAUGACUGCCCUAUGGGUUGUAAACUUCUUUUAUAUGGGAAUAAAAUGUUCCACGUGUGGGAUUUUGUAUGUACCAUAUGAAUAAGGAUCGGCUAACUCCGUGCCAGCAGCCGCGGUAAUACGGAGGAUCCGAGCGUUAUCCGGAUUUAUUGGGUUUAAAGGGAUCGUAGGUGGAUUGUUAAGUCAGUUGUGAAAGUUUGCGGCUCAACCGUAAAAUUGCAGUUGAAACUGGCAGUCUUGAUUACAGUAGAGGUGGGCGGAAUUCGUGGUGUAGCGGUGAAAUGCUUAGAUAUCACGAAGAACUCCGAUUGCGAAGGCAGUUCACUGGACUGCAACUGACACUGAGGCUCGAAAGUGUGGGUAUCAAACAGGAUUAGAUACCCUAGUAGUC